rnacentral:rRNA from 1 species
AGAGUUUGAUCCUGGCUCAGGACGAACGCUGGCGGCGUGCUUAACACAUGCAAGUCGAGGGAGGGCCCUUCGGGGACCCGACCGGCGGACGGGUGAGUAACACGUAAGCGACGUGACCCUGUGCGGGGGACAACCCGGGGAAACUCGGGCUAAUACCGCAUGGACGGCGGGGCUGCAUGGCUCUGCUGGGAAAAGUGGCCUCCUUACAGUGCCACUGCGCGGGGAGCGGCUUGCGGGCUAUCAGCUAGUUGGUGAGGUGACGGCUCACCAAGGCGACGACGGCUAGGGGGUCUGAGAGGAUGGCCCCCCACAUUGGGACUGAGACACGGCCCAGACUCCUACGGGAGGCAGCAGUGGGGAAUAUUGGGCAAUGGCCGCAAGGCUGACCCAGCGACGCCGCGUGUGGGAGGACGCCCUUCGGGGUGUAAACCACUGUCAGGGGGGACGAACGCCGGGGCGGUGAAUAGCCGGUCCGGGUGACGGUACCUCCAGAGGAAGCGCCGGCUAACUCUGUGCCAGCAGCCGCGGUAAUUC